CUACUUCCACUUUGCGGAAUUACUUAACCGCUUUUUGCAUACUUGACUCUAUUUUUUUCCUGAUAUUUGAUGGUUCUCUAAUUGAGAAAUCCCCAUCACCAGUCAAAUGAGGCCACGUUUGUCUUGAACUCUAUAUCGAAUGGGCGAUAGUGGAUCAGACGCGAGCUUCUAGAUAAGAACGUGCAGACAAGUGUUCGAGCAUUCAGUUUUCAACCAACCUUUCAACAAUGAAGACCAUUUUCUUGUGCCUCUUGAUCGUUUGUGUGCUCUUUGCAUUCACUUGGGCACAGUGCCCAAAUGCUUGCCCAUUUAUCUACAAUCCUGUCUGUGCUGGACCUCCAGGAGAGACCCGAGGUGUACAAAUGUUUGAUAACGAUUGUGCUUUGGAAGUUUACAAUUGCGAACACCAAACAGCUUGGGUGAAAUACGAAGGAAGUUGCUAAUUUUAUUGAUUUAUUUCAAACGAUUUAUUCAUUCAAUGGAUCAAUGUGAAACUUGGGGAGUGCAAUAAAAAAAUCCAGUAAUUUUUAAAAUAUUAUAUUCAUUUUGCAACAACUAAA